rnacentral:misc_RNA from 1 species
GAUGAAGAACGUAGCGAAAUGCGAUAAGUAAUGUGAAUUGCAGAAUUCAGUGAAUCAUCGAAUCUUUGAACGCACAUUGCGCCCGCCAGUGUUCUGGCGGGCAUGCCUGUUCGAGCGUCAUUUCAACCCUCAGGCCCCGCCUGGCGUUGGGGAUCGGCGCGGCCCUCUCCGGGCUGCCGGCCCCGAAAACUAGUGGCGGUCUCGCUGUAGUCCUCCUCUGCGCAGUAGCAACGCUCGCACUGGAACUCGGCGCGGCCACGCCGUAAAACACCCCACUUCUGAAAGUUGACCUCGGAUCAGGUAGGAAUACCCGCUGAACUUAAGCAUAUCAAUAAGCGGAGGA